GUCAUACUCCCUCCGUUCCGAAUUACUUGUCUCGAAAAUAGAUGUAUCUAGAACUAAAAUACAUCUAGAUACAUCCAUUUGUGCGACAAGUAAUUCUGAACGGAGGGAGUACUUC
rnacentral:pre_miRNA from 1 species